rnacentral:snoRNA from 1 species
GCUGGCGAUGAUGACACACUUGCCCUCACUGAGAUCCAUUGUGGGGAUUGUUGUUGAGAACAUCCUCUGUGCUCAUGGUGUACUGAGCCUCC